UACGAAGGGGGCUAGCGUUGUUCGGAAUUACUGGGCGUAAAGGGCGCGUAGGCGGCCCUCCAAGUCCGAUGUGAAAGCCCCGGGCUUAACCUGGGAAUUGCAUUUGAGACUGAAGGGCUUGAGUUUCGGAGAGGUGAGUGGAACUGCGAGUGUAGAGGUGAAAUUCGUAGAUACUCGCAAGAACACCAGUGGCGAAGGCGGCUCACUGGCCCGGUACUGACGCUGAGGCACGAAAGCGUGGGGAGCAAACAGG
rnacentral:rRNA from 1 species